rnacentral:rRNA from 1 species
ACCCAGACUCCUACGGGAGGCAGCAGUGGGGAAUAUUGCACAAUGGGGGAAACCCUGAUGCAGCAACGCCGCGUGAGUGAAGAAGUAUUUCGGUAUGUAAAGCUCUAUCAGCAGGGAAGAAAAUGACGGUACCUGAGUAAGAAGCCCCGGCUAACUACGUGCCAGCAGCCGCGGUAAUACGUAGGGGGCAAGCGUUAUCCGGAUUUACUGGGUGUAAAGGGAGCGUAGACGGCGAUGCAAGUCUGAAGUGAAAGCCCGGGGCUCAACCCCGGGACUGCUUUGGAAACUGUAUGGCUGGAGUGCUGGAGAGGCAAGCGGAAUUCCUAGUGUAGCGGUGAAAUGCGUAGAUAUUAGGAGGAACACCAGUGGCGAAGGCGGACUACUGGACGGUGAAUGCCGCUGAGGCUCGAAAGCUUGGGGAGCAAACAGGAUUAGAUACCCGCGUAAA